GACGAACGCUGGCGGCGUGCUUAACACAUGCAAGUCGAGCGGUAAGGCCCUUUCGGGGUACACGAGCGGCGAACGGGUGAGUAACACGUGGGUGACCUGCCCUCAGCUCUGGGAUAAGCCUGGGAAACCGGGUCUAAUACUGGAUAUGACUCCAUGACGCAUGUUGUGGGGUGGAAAGCCUUGUGCGGCUGAGGAUGGGCCCGCGGCCUAUCAGCUUGUUGGUGGGGUGAUGGCCUACCAAGGCGACGACGGGUAGCCGGCCUGAGAGGGCGACCGGCCACACUGGGACUGAGACACGGCCCAGACUCCUACGGGAGGCAGCAGUGGGGAAUCUUGCGCAAUGGGCGAAAGCCUGACGCAGCGACGCCGCGUGA
rnacentral:rRNA from 1 species